GGGCCAGACUCCUACGGGAGGCAGCAGUGGGGAAUAUUGCACAAUGGGGGAAACCCUGAUGCAGCGACGCCGCGUGAGUGAAGAAGUAAUUCGUUACGUAAAGCUCUAUCAGCAGGGAAGAAAAUGACGGUACCUGAGUAAGAAGCCCCGGCUAACUACGUGCCAGCAGCCGCGGUAAUACGUAGGGGGCAAGCGUUAUCCGGAUUUACUGGGUGUAAAGAGUUGCGUAGGUGGCAUAAUAAGUAGCUAGUGAAAUCUGGUGGCUCAACCAUUCAGACUAUUAGCUAAACUGUUAAGCUCGAGACCGUUAGGGGUAACUGGAAUUUCUAGUGUAGGAGUGAAAUCCGUAGAUAUUAGAAGGAACACCAAUAGCGUAGGCAGGUUACUGGGACGGUUCUGACACUAAGGCACGAAAGCGUAGGGAGCAAACGGGAUUAGAUACCCCUGUA
rnacentral:rRNA from 1 species